UUGGUGGGGUAAAAGCCUACCAAGGUAACGAUGCGUAGCCGGACUGAGAGGUUGACCGGCCACAUUGGGACUGAGAACGGCCCAAACUCCUACGGGAGGCAGCAGUAGGGAAUUUUCGGCAAUGGGGGGAACCCUGACCGAGCGAUGCCGCGUGAAUGACGAAGUUCUUCGGAAUGUAAAAUUCUUUUGUGUGGGAAGAAAAAGCAAUUAUUGACGGUACCACAAGAAUAAGCCCCGGCUAACUAUGUGCCAGCAGCCGCGGUAAUACAUAGGGGGCAAGCGUUAUCCGGAUUUACUGGGCGUAAAGGGUGCGUAGGUUGUUAUUUAAGUUUAUGGUAUAAGCACAAUGCUUAACGUUGUGAGGCUGGGAAAACUAGAUAGCUAGAGUAAGACAGAGGCAAGUGGAAUUCCAUGUGUAGCGGUAAAAUGCGUAAAUAUAUGGAGGAACACCAGUGGCGAAGGCGGCUUGCUGGGUCUUGACUGACGCUGAUGCACGAAAGCGUGGGGAGCAAACAGGAUUAGAUACCCUGGUAGUCCACGCCGUAAACGAUGAGUACUAAGUGUUGGCCAAAAAGGUCAGU
rnacentral:rRNA from 1 species